AGCCCAAUUUAAACCCGACAAUGUUUUAAUAGUGCGCCGUGCAUUCUCAACUACAAUUCAGAGUUGUUUGAAUUACAGAAAUCUGUUUAGAAUUAUCUUAAUGAACUAAUGCAACAAGGACGAUGUCACGGUGAUCCGUGUCAUGUUUUGUUUGUGUCUCCGAUUACGUCACAUGGACAAUUCACGGACUGAUUCAUCACACCUGUUCCCUGUUAAGUGUUGUGUAUUUAUACUGCUGUCUGUUUCUCACCUGUCGCCGGAUCAUUGUCAUUGUCGCCGUUCCUGUUGUUCUCUGUAUUGGAUGUUCCUGUGUUGCUGUUUUACUCCUCGUGUGUUAUUUCUGUUCGUUUUAUAUUAAAUGUUAUUUAUUUCAUGUGAACCCUGCGAGUGCGUCCUGAUUCUUGUUCCCAGUCGUGACAGAAUGAUCCGGCCAGACUUGACGCAGCGGGUUCACGGAGGGCGGCUCCCCCUGGAGUUUCGUUGAGGGGGAGUAGUGACAUCGGGGUUCAUUCCCCAUCAGCCCCGAUGUCUCUUGGGGACCACCGUGAGCGAUCGCUCGCUCCUGCGAGCAUGCGGGAGGAGGAUCGGCCCAGGCGGUCCCCCAACGGUUGAGUCGUCGUCGACGGUCCCUCGGAGGACCACCAUCCUGCUCGCAGGGGGAUCCGGAACGGACCACGCCCGAUCAUUUCCCCGGGGUGGCUACCGAGAGAGGGUCUCUGUUUCCGCGAGGGGAUGGGAGAUGACUUCCGGGGGCAGCUGAUCGUCGGCGAUUCCCAGGAGGGGGGUAAUUCGUCUGCCUCGGUUCUCGGAGCGAUCGCUCCGGUUCUCCUGGCGCAGUCCGGCCUACCGUUCCUGUUGGUCUCAUCCCGGCGGCUGCCGGCUUCGCCAGGGUCCCCAAGCCCUCCACCCCUCCUUUGGACUCUCGCUACCAGACUUUGUUUUUGUUUUUUGUUUAUGUGAGUGUCUGGUAGCCACUCGUAGAGGGGAGGGUUAUGUCACGGUGAUCCGUGUCAUGUUUUGUUUGUGUCUCCGAUUACGUCACCUGGACAAUUCACGGACUGAUUCAUCACACCUGUUCCCUGUUAAGUGUUGUGUAUUUAUACUGCUGUCUGUUUCUCACCUGUCGCCGGAUCAUUGUCAUUGUCGCCGUUCCUGUUGUUCUCUGUAUUGGAUGUUCCUGUGUUGCUGUUUUACUCUUUGUGUGUUAUUUCUGUUCGUUUUAUAUUAAAUGUUAUUUAUUUCAUGUGAAUCCUGCGAGUGCGUCCUGAUUCUUGUUCCCAGUCGUGACAGACGAAGCAUGUAAACUGCGCUGUUUGUUUAAUCAUAGUAGAAACGCAAUAAAAACAUGCAACAAUGAUGCACACAGAAAACGAACAAGAAUGAACUGUGGAGAAGGCCUAUAGGAGAAGGCAUACUACUCUAAAAUAAUUUAACAAGGUUUUAGAAUAGAUUUUACACAAAAUAUGUUGGCCUAUUUUGAUAUUUUAAAAUGUAGGCCUAUUCCGAUGCAAAAAGGUGGCGCCCAAGCUAUAGGUUCAGGAAACGAUUUUCUAGUUCAUCUUUUCAAAAAAUAUUUAAAAAUAUAGCAAAAUUGUUUUGCGUUGUUUAACGCACAUGAUAAUGUUACAGGGCAUGUGCGUUAUUGAAUAAAAGUAAAAACGAUCGAAUUUAAUGAUUAAAACGACGUAAAAGGAACUAAGUUGUAAAGCCUCGAUGUACAAUAAGGGACAUGCGACAUUUAAGAGUGGUGGGUAUUUUAAAAAUUAAUAUAAAUUAUUCCCAUGCAUCGAUUUUAACGUUAAACAUCUGUUAAUCCAAAUGAAUCCAUAUGGAAUAUAUUCAGACAGUUUAAAGCAACACUAUGUAGUUUUUUACAUUUGAAUAAUGUCUCUAAAAUUAUUUCAGUGAUAGAACAACUUUAAACUGGACAAAUUGUACUGUUGCUGCAACCUGAGCAGCCUCCUAGCUGCUACAAGCACACUCUGAAAGUGGCGGUGAAGGGUAGGAAACACAGCCCCGCCCCUCCCCCUGCCUUCAGAAGAGUGUCUGAUACCAGGCACUGUUGCGCUUUUCAACCACAUGGGGGAGCUGUAAGUCAUUUUUACAUGGAGACAACAUAGUGUUGCUUUAAAGGCGGGGUUUAAUGGUAUUUCAAGCAUUCUGACUUAUUAACACAGUUAUAGAGUUGUUUCCUCAUGCUAAACGUAGGCAAAGUGUCAAAACAGUCAAAACAGUUGGGCGUGUUUCAGAGUAUUUCUGUGCCGAAUGCACUUCGCCAGGGUUCGUACAAGUUUUGGCUAGUUUUUUUGAUUACAACUGUUCUAACUGACGUUUCAGGGGUUUUCGCUACGUAUCACUUCUUUAUAUGGGCUUCCGCUGGAAAACUUCCCCCGGAAAACCCCGCCCACCCGUCAGUCAGGGGGAGACGCUAGAGCUUGCUAACAGCUUAUCACGCAACUCAGCUUUGUUUAAUUUCAAAAGUCAACAAUGGCACAACAAGAAGUGUGUUUUUGGAUGUAAGGAGAAGACAUCCAGCCUUAUGGAAACAAUGGAUAUAGUUUAUUAUCCGGGGUAGCAGCGGAGAUUUGCGUGUGUGUUUGAUGCGCUGGAUUUUCAGAACCGGGUCAUGACGAGUUGCACGAGGUAAGUAAGACUUCUGUCUUAUGUUGGAAAUAGGCGCGUGUAUAUUAUAUAAAUGACAAAAACAUGUAGUGAAUCAUAAGUUAUAACAGUGUUGUAUAGUUUUGCAUGACUCGUACUCGCUCCGCCCGCGGUAUAACUCCUCCUCCUUCAUUUUUUCGUACGUUAUCAGAAAGAUUCGGUAAAGCUAAUCUUUCUUUUAUAAAUCUGAUUAAACUAAAGACUCUUCAGAGAUAUAAAGGAUGUCAUACUACUCUUUAGGUACUCCAGAUUAACAUCAGAAAUGCAGAAACAGCGUGUGUUACGUGAGCUUUAAGAUAUGAUCUUUGAAUUUUAAAGUCAAAAAUAUCUAAUUUUUACACCGCUGCACAGGAGGCAUGGCAAACUGAAACAAAACUUUAAAGACACAAAUAUUACGUUUACAUGUAAAACUAUAUUUAAAUGAAACCCGUGAAUUGAAAGGUCCACUAAUAAUCGCCUUAACUCGAGUGAUGUCAAUAAAGUUUCCAUGUUAGAAUUUAGAAAUAUUAAAAACUUAAGCCACUGACAACAAAUAUGUUUUCUUACCACUUGCCAUUGUAACAGGCCUUUGAUCAUUUAAUAUUUAUAUGCUAAUGAAUUAAAUUAGGGGCGUUUACAAGGCGGAGUUCUAAGAGCAUUCGGGUGCGCACAAUUUUAAGAUCGUUUGUGAUUUAUAAACAGCACAUCUGGAAAAGAGGCCUACGCACAUUAUUUUGUGCAUACGCUCCUUUUCUCUGAAUCACACGUACGAUCAUUUCAGAAAUGGUCUUAGAUGAAAUAUAGGAUAGCUCCUACAUCGCACUUUUAUAAAUGAGGCCCCUGAGACCUCGAUAUGCAGUCUAUAAAUCACAAAUGAGGCUCCACACUGGAGUCUGUUGCUAUCUGGUUGGUGAGGCGAGGUUAAAGCUGCGAUGUAAAAAUCAAAACCUGCACUAAGCUUCAGAUCUAAAUUAAGUCAAUUUUUCAUCAUUUAAAGUUAUAUAAAAACUGUGCUGUAAUUGACAAAUGUAGUUAGGUAGCAGGCCCGGUACUAGGCUUGCUGGACUGGGGGGGCAGUCAGGAUUUUUGGGUGGGCAGCCAGUUCUCGACUAAAAUUAUUCAUACACUAAAAUUAGGGAGGUUUCAAUCCAAUAUUAUUUUGCAUAUGUCUUAUAAUAAAGGGCCAUUUAUAUGUCAUUUUACACUUAAUGAAGUUUUACACAUUUAGUUACAGUUAAUGAAAUCAGGCAAGCAGGUGAUAUGAAUGCAAAGCUGUACAUAUAGCUAUAUUUUAUUAAUGUGUACACUGCAUUUAAUCUAUUAUUUCACUUAUAGAUAAAUUAAAGCCAUUCUUAUACCUACCCUACCCAACAUAUGCCUUUAUUCUAAAUAAACACUCGUUAGGCACUUUAUUUCCACUUCAUUUCUUCAUUUAAAAUAAUGCAUUUUCAAUGUGAUAUAUGUGAUAAGCUAUUUUCAUUAAUUCCUGACCCUUUCAUGCUGCUGCAGCAACCUCAAAUAUCACAACAAAGCACAACGCUUUAAAUAAUCUAUUUUGAAACAUCAUGAAAGCAGUUUGACAUGCAUGACAAAUUCGUCAAAGGUUGUCCUGUAACAGCACCAGACAAAAGCACAAGCCCUUAAAUACUGUAAAUGUGAUUUGCGACGAGACCAAAGAUAAAUCACACUGCUUUGUUCAUAACACAGCAAAUUAAAGCAAUAAACCCCAAGAAGCAGUGGGUUACCAGUGCAUUUUAUAACAGCUAAGGGGCGUUGUUAGGCACGACGCGAACCCCCUUAGCUGUUAUAAAAUGCACUGGUAACCCAACGCUUCGAGGGGUUUAUUGCGUUUAUAAAACGGUUACUUCAUAUGCAUAACGUUAGCGGGAUUUUAUAAAAUAAAACACAAAUAAGUUGUAAUUAUAUUAGUACAAAUAUUGCUCUUCCGCCAAACAAAGUAGUUCCUCAGAAUCAAGUGUGGCUGCAACAGAGCGCAGUUCACAAACAACACAGACGCAGCAAAGGCGCAAUGAAAAUAUGAUUAAAGACUGUGGUGUUUAUUUUUAUAUAUCAACAUUCAUCUAAAAUAUACAUUAACAUUUAUAUCGUGCAACUUUUCAAGUGAUGAUCAAAUAUGCUUGGAAGCAUGAUUAACUCUUUCCCCGUCAGCGUUUUUUUUUUUAAGUUGCCACCCAGUUUUAGUUUAAUGCCUUACAGAAAAAUCUUCUUUAUUUAAACAUAAAAUAUCAAAUAAAGGAACAGACCAUCCACUUUCCAACAACAUCAAAAAACGUUUCAUCCUACCUUCAUGUUCUCUUAUCAGUUAUCACCUCUCAAAUUUUCAGCUAAAUGCGGAGAUAAUUAAUCAAGUGGCUAAAUCGUAUGAAAUCCUACGAGCUGGCUCGUACGAAAUCGUACGAUUAGUUCAUCGCGUUUAACACAGCCCUGUGUUGCAGGGAUUUCGUGCGCAUUAAUACGAAUAGAUUAAAUUGUACUAUACCAUACGAUUUUGUUCAUCGCAUUCAAGAAGCGUGAUCCGUAGCCAGAAAAAACCUCUGGGUGUGCAUCUGAAAAUCUGCGUGUGUCACAAGCAGGCAAGAUAAACGCUGGGGAAUUCAGGUGCUGUAAAUCCCGUGGACAGGACUCAUCUCGUUAUAGAUCAAAAUAAUUUAUAAAGAUCUUUAAACGAAGGAUUGGAAUAUCAGAUAGUUGACAUGGUAAGCAAGUUAGUUAAUAUUUUUAAUUUAAAAAGGAAAAUGAAAUGAAACUAAUAGCAUUAUUGUUGUUGCGGUGUGUCACGUGACAAUCAUGACCCGUCGCCAUGGACACAAGGGGUCAGAUAAAAUAUUUUUAACUUACGCGUGAAAGGCUUGAUUUUAAAAAUAUAUAUAUAUUCUAAGUAAACAACAACAGCCCUACACUCUAAAAAAAACCGGUGCUAUAUAGCACCAAAAGUGGUUCUUUGCUCGUAAUCAUAGAAGAACCGUUUUUAGUGCCAUAUAGCACCGGUGAAGCACCUGUGUAGAACCAAAUAGUGCUUUGUAGAACCAUAUGUGGUGCUAUAGUGGUGCUAUAUGGCCCCUAUAUGGUUCUACACAGGUGCUUCACUGGUGCUUCACCGGUGCUAUGUGGCACUAAAAACGGUUCUUCUAUGGUUACGAUUGAAAUCAACAGUUUUGGUGCUAUAUAGCACCGUUUGUUUUUUUAGAGUGUAGUUUAGUAAAAAAAAUAUUGAAACUAUAAAUAAAUAUUCUGCAUCCAUUUUAGUUGUGCUACUGUGGGUGGCUCCGGCACACCCGUGGCUACGCCCCUGCCGUGACCCAAAUCUCGUUCGCACAUCAUCGCGAUAUUUAUCAUCUGUUUACAAACGUCGCCACAUCUCGCUUCGUAAGAUGGAAUUACUGGGCUUCUCUCCAAUGCUCUUUAUUACAACACAGAGAGGCCAGCAUCACUCCACAAAAGUUUUUGUUAACAUCAACGUUCAGAGGCAUCACUCAGUACCAGUCAUGCAGAGACUUUAUGAGGCUGUUGUAAGAGAUAAGCCUAUCCCCUGUAUGUCACUGAUGCACUACUUCAAAGAUGUGAGGACAAGAACAUACACCUGCGAGUAGUCUUAGACAUUGCCUGUGUUGUUGCCUCACAUUUGCAGAAAUCAGGGGAGGGCAUACCACACAACAUCUCCUUAGUCAUACCAGCAUUUCAUGUUUAUGGACACAAAUUGCCCUGCCAGAUCAUGUACAGUACCAGAUGGCUUGAUGGGUUUGGGCUCACAGACGGGGAAGGAAUGAAAAGGCUGUGGUCUUUCCUCCAAAGAUUUGCCAGAGUCACAAAGGAGAUGACUCCAUCUCAUCGCCUUAACCUACUGACUGAUGCCCUUUUGCAUUAUGGACGGUGGAAAUCAACUGACCUAGGUGUGUCUACUGCUGUAUAACCUUUGAAAAUUCUGUGCUGGUGGUUCACUGUUUAUACAUUUUAUAUUUUCUGGAGUGAAGCCGAUCACACACAAAAUGGUAAGCAUACUAUAAGUAGAUUAAACUGUCUUUUCAGAGGUGCAGCUACUGCAAAGAGUAGACAAAGCAGAGAAAAUAUUGCUCAAGAAGAUAUCUCAUCUGUCAUCAGAGAGGCACCAGUGUGAUUUCUGAAGGAGACAUGGAGAGAUGGAAAAAGGCUAGCCCAACAGAAACCAAUAAACACUGUCUGUAGAUGGAAAAGGGACUACAUCAUCAGACUGAUUCAGUUCUACAUGUUCAAAUAUUAGAAUUGAGAACUCUGCUGAACAUUGAGGAAAAAAUACCGUAUUGGGAGAAGAUGGCAAGAGUCUGAUUCAAACUUCCAGUCUACCCUUAAAGAUGUGGACCGAGAGCUCAGAGUCCAACUCAAAGGCUUGAACUGAAUCAAGGGAGAGAGAGCAGUCCUCCUUCACCUGAGAAGAAUAUAUCCAGCUUUGCUUCAGAUGGGCAGGGCAUUGCCAUUAGACUCUCCAAGCAGGUAGCCAGCUCCAACAAUAGACUGAGACAGGCAAUAAAAGAAUACAACAGCAUUCAAUGGUCACCGCAGAUGAGCUUCUUACCUGCGACAAUUGAUUUUCAGGAAUCAUGUGAUCCCUCUUGGCAUGUCUACUUCUGCUUUGAUGACACUAUUGAAGAAGAUGAUGUUUCGAGGAGUCUAAAAAAGCGAGGGAUUGAUGCCUUACAUAUGAAGACUCAUGCAAAAGCUGCUCUCAUUCAACGCUUCCAACAGCUGGAAAGAAAACUACAUCAAGCCAUUGUGAUGUUUAACCCACAUGUAUCAGACUUUGUUCCUGCAGACAACCCUCACUUGUGUCAGGCCCUCCCCAUGCCAAGCAUACAGACACUGGUAUACAAUGAUAAGAGUGAUAAUGAUGACAAUGUGGAUAACUAGCACUACAGAUUUUUUUUUACAUUUCUAGUCUGAUAUUGUAUUCUGUAAAAAGAAUGAUGUAAAAUGUAUAGUAUAUGUUGCAGCAUAUCAUAGAAACCUUUAUGGUGGUGUAAUAUAAUGUUCGCCUUACUUGUGCAAACAUGAUGUUUUACUAGAUCUGAUUUAUUAUUAAACGUAGGUACUGUUUUUAAGCACACAUAUUCACACUAGUCUGUGUGAGGACAAAAUUGUGUGUUUACCAUUGUGAUGUUACUUAUUUACUGUAAUGUACAAAUGUGGUCAAUGUGUGUAAGGUGUUUUGUUUUUGUGUGCUAAGUUGAAAUGACAAAGUAUUGAAUCUUGAAUCCUUUGAAACAAAUACUGUAAAAGUUUGUAAAGAAUAAAAUGUUUUUCACGAUGA